rnacentral:lncRNA from 1 species
AUAAAACCCAGCUCUAUGAACUGGUGGCCAUGAUGAUUUAAAUUUUCAUUGUGAGAUCAUCACCCCAACAUUCUAUGGGUGUCCUGGAAACCUUCAUGUACAUAGUGUCUUUGAGCUAUCCUAGUGAAGGUUGAUCAUUCUCUCUUCUCAAGGUGUGACCUGGGAUUGUACUGGCUGUACUGCAAGCACUUCAUGAAGAUGCCAUGUGCCAGCAUCCCUGUCCCCCGUCCUGGUGUUGCAUCUGCUACAGUGGCUGGGCAAGCAAGUGCUAUGACAAAGCUCUCCAUUUUCUCACACCAGUUCUGGACAGGCAUGAGGUGGCAAUGGCUCGGAUCAGGACACAAAUGGAGGGUGGUGGAGCUGACAGUAGAAAAAUCUACAUUCCUGCUGUCACGCCUGAGCAGAUACAUCCCGCGAUUAGCCCAUCUCCUACCCCACACUAUUUUCCUGGACAAGCACCCAACCCUGAACAGCAGCAGCACAUCAGCCCUCUCCAAGCAGAAUAAAACUACCAGGAUGCACCUGUGCAGCAGUUGGAUGGCCACAUCUGUAUCCACAGCAGCCAGAAUGUCAUGGAAGAAACCCGGCUUAUUUUCCAAGGGAGAAGCAGGGACACUCAAGGCAUCAGGACCCCAGUUCUCUAGCCAGAAACUAUAG